AUCCUAGUUCACCCCCUUUGAGCCUUAUUUUUCCAUAUUCUUUGAUUUAGCUAUGGGUGGGAGCUUGGAGAUUAUUUGAUAGGAGAUAAUUGGGUUGUGGAGAUAAAUGAUCAUGAGUUAUGUUUUGUGGUUUUAAAUUGAAAAUCCUAGUACCCUACAAGUUGUUGAAAAAAAAAGAAAAAAGAGAAAGAAAAGAAAGUAAAAGAAAAGUGAGAAAAUAAUUGAAAAAAAAUGGGUACAUAGGAUGCAUUAGAAAGUCAUAAUGUCAUGAGAAAUAAUUGUUGUGUUGUGGUGGAUUAUAUAUUGAAAAAUUUGGUUUUGUGGAAGGUGGAGGAUAGAAUUGAGUAAGAAUGCUAUAAGGUUGGUGAUGAUGUUACUUUGAUUCGCAUCUUUUAGUCACUUAGCCAAAUAUAUCCUACCUUGCCAAAGAGCCUACAUUACAACCCUCA
rnacentral:lncRNA from 1 species